rnacentral:rRNA from 1 species
UACGUAGGGUGCGAGCGUUGUCCGGAAUUAUUGGGCGUAAAGAGCUUGUAGGCGGUUUGUCGCGUCUGCUGUGAAAACCCGGGGCUCAACCCCGGGCCUGCAUUCGAUACGGGCAGACUAGAGGUGAUCAGGGGAGAACGAAUUCCUGGUGUAGCGGUGAAAUGCGCAGAUAUCAGGAGGAACACCGGUGGCGAAGGCGGUUCUCUGGGCAUUACCUGACGCUGAGGAGCGAAAGUGUGGGGAGCGAACAGG